rnacentral:rRNA from 1 species
GAUGAACGCUAGCGGCAGGCCUAAUACAUGCAAGUCGAACGGGAUCCAGAUCAAAGCUUGCUUUGGUCUGGUGAGAGUGGCGCACGGGUGCGUAACGCGUGAGCAACCUACCCUUGUCAGGGGGAUAGCCCGGCGAAAGUCGGAUUAAUACCGCAUGACAUCAUUGAGAGGCAUCUUUCGAUGAUCAAAGAUUUAUCGGACAAGGAUGGGCUCGCGUGACAUUAGCUAGUUGGUAAGGUAACGGCUUACCAAGGCUGCGAUGUCUAGGGGCUCUGAGAGGGGAAACCCCCAGACUGGUACUGAGACACGGACCAGACUCCUACGGGAGGCAGCAGUAAGGAAGAUUGGUCAAUGGACGGAAGUCUGAACCAGCCAUGCCGCGUGCAGGAAGACGGCCCUAUGGGUUGUAAACUGCUUUUAUACGGGAACAAACGUCGGUACGUGUACCGGUCUGAGUGUACCGUAAGAAUAAGGAUCGGCUAACUACGUG